rnacentral:rRNA from 1 species
CUACGGGGCGCUCCAGUGAGGAAUAUCGCACAAUGGGGGGAACCCUGAUGCAGCAACGCCGCGUGGAGGAUGACGCAUUUCGGUGUGUAAACUCCUUUUAUAUGUCAAGAAGAUGACGGUAGCAUAUGAAUAAGCACCGGCUAACUCCGUGCCAGCAGCCGCGGUAAUACGGAGGGUGCAAGCGUUACUCGGAAUCACUGGGCGUAAAGGACGCGUAGGCGGGUUGGAAAGUCAGGUGUGAAAUCCUACAGCUUAACUGUAGAACUGCACUUGAAACUUCUAAUCUAGAGUAUGGGAGGGGGAGAUGGAAUUAGUGGUGUAGGGGUAAAAUCCGUAGAUAUCACUAGGAAUACCUAAAGCGAAGGCGAUCUCCUGGAACAUUACUGACGCUAAGGCGUGAAAGCGUGGGGAGCAAACAGGAUUAGAUACCCGCGUAGUC